rnacentral:rRNA from 1 species
UGCGUAGGUGGUUGCAUAAGUUAGGUGUGAAAGUCCUGGGCUUAACCCUGGGGAUUGCGCCUAAGACUGUGUAGCUAGAGUAAUGUAGAGGAAGGUGGAAUUUCCAGUGUAGCGGUGAAAUGCGUAGAUAUUGGAAGGAACAUCGGUGGCGAAGGCGACCUUCUGGACAGAUACUGACACUGAGGCACGAGAGCAGUGGGGAGCAAACA